rnacentral:tRNA from 1 species
GGAGGGUAUAGCUCAGUGGUAGAGUGUGUGCCAGCAUGCACAAGGUCCUGGGUUCAAUCCCCAGUACCUCCA